rnacentral:tRNA from 5 species
UCCCUAUCGUCUAGAGGCCUAGGACAUCGCCCUUUCACGGCGGUAACCGGGGUUCGAAUCCCCGUAGGGACGCCA